rnacentral:rRNA from 1 species
UACGUAGGGUGCGAGCGUUAAUCGGAAUUACUGGGCGUAAAGGGCUCGUAGGCGGCCAACUAAGUCGGACGUGAAAUCCCCAGGCUCAACCUGGGAACUGCGUCCGAUACUGGAUGGCUUGAAUCCGGGAGAGGGAUGCAGAAUUCCAGGUGUAGCGGUGAAAUUCGUAGAUAUUCGCAAGAACACCAGUGGCGAAGGCGGCUCACUGGCCCGGUACGUGGACGCUGAGACGCGAAAGCGUGGGGAGCGAACAGG